rnacentral:rRNA from 1 species
GAUGAACGCUGGCGGCGUGCCUAAUACAUGCAAGUCGAGCGAACGGACGAGAAGCUUGCUUCUCUGAUGUUAGCGGCGGACGGGUGAGUAACACGUGGAUAACCUACCUAUAAGACUGGGAUAACUUCGGGAAACCGGAGCUAAUACCGGAUAAUAUUUUGAACCGCAUGGUUCAAAAGUGAAAGACGGUCUUGCUGUCACUUAUAGAUGGAUCCGCGCUGCAUUAGCUAGUUGGUAAGGUAACGGCUUACCAAGGCAACGAUGCAUAGCCGACCUGAGAGGGUGAUCGGCCACACUGGAACUGAGACACGGUCCAGACUCCUACGGGAGGCAGCAGUAGGGAAUCUUCCGCAAUGGGCGAAAGCCUGACGGAGCAACGCCGCGUGAGUGAUGAAGGUCUUCGGAUCGUAAAACUCUGUUAUUAGGGAAGAACAUAUGCGUAAGUAACUGUGCACAUCUUGACGGUACCUAAUCAGAAAGCCACGGCUAACUACGUGCCAGCAGCCGCGGUAAUACGUAGGUGGCAAGCGUUAUCCGGAAUUAUUGGGCGUAAAGCGCGCGUAGGCGGUUUUUUAGUCUGAUGUGAAAGCCCACGGCUCAACCGUGGAGGGUCAUUGGAAACUGGAAAACUUGAGUGCAGAAGAGGAAAGUGGAAUUCCAUGUGUAGCGGUGAAAUGCGCAGAGAUAUGGAGGAACACCAGUGGCGAAGGCGACUUUCUGGUCUGUAACUGACGCUGAUGUGCGAAAGCGUGGGGAUCAAACAGGAUUAGAUACCCUGGUAGUCCACGCCGUAAACGAUGAGUGCUAAGUGUUAGGGGGUUUCCGCCCCUUAGUGCUGCAGCUAACGCAUUAAGCACUCCGCCUGGGGAGUACGACCGCAAGGUUGAAACUCAAAGGAAUUGACGGGGACCCGCACAAGCGGUGGAGCAUGUGGUUUAAUUCGAAGCAACGCGAAGAACCUUACCAAAUCUUGACAUCCUUUGACAACUCUAGAGAUAGAGCCUUCCCCUUCGGGGGACAAAGUGACAGGUGGUGCAUGGUUGUCGUCAGCUCGUGUCGUGAGAUGUUGGGUUAAGUCCCGCAACGAGCGCAACCCUUAAGCUUAGUUGCCAUCAUUAAGUUGGGCACUCUAAGUUGACUGCCGGUGACAAACCGGAGGAAGGUGGGGAUGACGUCAAAUCAUCAUGCCCCUUAUGAUUUGGGCUACACACGUGCUACAAUGGACAAUACAAAGGGCAGCGAAACCGCGAGGUCAAGCAAAUCCCAUAAAGUUGUUCUCAGUUCGGAUUGUAGUCUGCAACUCGACUACAUGAAGCUGGAAUCGCUAGUAAUCGUAGAUCAGCAUGCUACGGUGAAUACGUUCCCGGGUCU